CAAAAGCCUGGUCCUGACUUUAACAUCAGUUCUAGCCUGUCUUACACAUGCAAGUACCCGCCUACCCGUGAGAAUGCCCUUUAUCCCCCUCUCGGAGAAAAGGGGCCGGCAUCAGGCACACUUAUAAACGUAGCCCAAGACGCCUUGCUCAGCCACACCCUCAAGGGAAUUCAGCAGUGAUAAAUAUUAAGCUAUAAGCGAAAGCUCGACUUAGUUAGGGCUAAAAGAGCCGGUAAAACUCGUGCCAGCCACCGCGGUUAGACGGGAGGCUCGAAUUGAUGCUACACGGCGUGAAGCGUGAUUAGAAAACAAAAAGACUAAAGCCAAACACCUCCUAAGCUGUCAUACGCUACUGGAUAAGACGAGGCCCCAUAACGAAAGUAGCUUUAAUACCUUUGAAUACACGACAGUUAAGAAACAAACUGGGAUUAGAUACCCCACUAUGCUUAACCAUAAACAACGAUGACAACCUACAAAUAUCAUCCGCCAGGGGACUACGAGCGUUAGCUUAAAACCCAAAGGACUUGGCGGUGUCUCAAACCCACCUAGAGGAGCCUGUUCUAUAACCGAUAAUCCACGUUAAACCUCACCACCUCUUGCUAAAACCGCCUAUAUACCGCCGUCGUCAGCUUACCUCUUGAGAGACUUAUAGUAAGCCUAAUGAGUUAUACCCAGAACGUCAGGUCGAGGUGUAGCGAAUGAGGUGGGAUGAAAUGGGCUACAUUUUCUGACCCAGAAAAAUACGGAAAGUGCCAUGAAACAAGCACGACUGAAGGUGGAUUUAGCAGUAAAAAGAAAAUAGAGAGUUCUUUUGAAACCGGCUCUGAGACGCGUACACACCGCCCGUCAUUCUCCUCAAAAAUGAAGAAAGAAUCUAUAAUAUUACUAAAAGUAUAAAAGAGGAGGCAAGUCGUAACAUGGUAAGUGUACCGGAAGGUGCACUUGGGAAAAUU
rnacentral:ncRNA from 1 species